CACUCGUACAGAAAAGUUCAAUUAUAUUUUUGUGAUUUAAGAUUCUGUUAACGCCAAUGAUUGGAUAGAAUCUCUAUUGAGGAAGAACCCCUUUUCGCUGGUGCUAUUCAAGAAGUGACUCCUUUUCGAAGGACAUCGUUCGCCACUCGGGCGAAUCCCCAUUGACGAAGACACCCCUUCUCGAGCAGCGGCCAUUCAAGAAGUGAUUUCGUACUUCCCGGCGGACAUGGUCAGAAAUUUCAAAGAAUUUUGAUUAAGAACCUAUUCCGGCUCAUCGGCGCUGGCCAGCGUCUAUCCAAGGAGUGACUCUUCCUAGCUUUCGAAGGACAUCGUUUGCAACUCUAGCGAAUCUCCAAGGUUGGGCAGCGACCAUCCACGGAGUGAGUACUUGCUGCUCGGCGGACAUCCGAAAUUCUCAAGAAUAUUGACGAAGAAGCACCGUUCUGCCGGCUCAUCGGCGUCUGCCAGCGUCUAUCCAAAGGAGUGACUCUCCUCCAAAGAAACUGCUCGGCGCACAUACUCAAUUUUAGGGAUUUUGAUGAAGAAGCCCUCUUAUUCCGGCUUAUCCAAGUCGGGCAGCGAACACCCGAGUAACUUUCCUCCGUGCUGCUCGCCAGAUAUUGUUCGCACUCCGAUAGUAGAGGUGGAGCCGGUAGUACCAAUGGUGGUAAAAGAAGCACUACGGCGAUAUUUUAAAGUGUUUUAGAACGCAUUUGAUGGUUUGGGGGCGGAUAAAUAGUGUGUGCGCAAGCAAAUCGUUUCGGACCCUGCCGGGACAGAAUAUAUCUGGAAAGCGAGCUUCAGGGGAGUUGAAAACCGAGAAACUGUGACGUACGUCGACGCUAGGAGCGUGAAGUGUUUGAAGAGAAGGGGUUAUGUGAUCAAAUUCUGGAAACUGAAGGCCGACUUCUUGCCCGCUUUCUAGCCAUCUAGAAUGUGGGCGAGAAGUCGACCUUCAGUUUUCACAACGUGAAUUUGAUAACAGAAUAUUUUCUCUUCAGGCUCUUCAUGCUCCUAGCGUCGAUGCGCGUAACAGUUUCGCUGUUCUCCACUUCCCUGAAGUCCGCUUUCCAAUCAUAUUCUGUCCAGGCAGGGUAUGAAACGGUUUCCUUGGCCACACACCAUUUAUCCACCCUUAAACCAUCAAUUUAGUUCUAACACACUUUAAAAUACCGCCGAAGUGCUUCUUUUACCAACAGUGGUAUCACCGACUCCUCCUUGACUAUCGGUGUGCGGACAAUAUCUGCCGAGCAGCAUGGCGUAGAGUAACUCCUUGGUUUGGAAUUCGAGGCCUCCACUACCAGUUUCCCGUUGGUUAACCGAACUUCAAAAUAAACAUCUUACAAUA